GAUGAACGCUAGCGGCAGGCCUAACACAUGCAAGUCGAGGGGUAACAGGGAGUGCUUGCACUCUGCUGACGACCGGCGCACGGGUGCGUAACGCGUAUGCAACCUACCUUCUACAGGGGGAUAGCCCAGAGAAAUUUGGAAUAAUACCCCAUACGAUCUUUACUUGGCAUCGAGUAGAGAAGAAAACUUUUUGUGGUAGAAGGUGGGCAUGCGUCCUAUUAGUUAGUUGGUGAGGUAACGGCUCACCAAGACUUCGAUAGGUAGGGGCCCUGAGAGGGGGAUCCCCCACACUGGUACUGAGACACGGACCAGACUCCUACGGGAGGCAGCAGUGAGGAAUAUUGGACAAUGGGGGCAACCCUGAUCCAGCCAUGCCGCGUGCAGGAAGACUGCCCUAUGGGUUGUAAACUGCUUUUAUACAGGAAGAAACUGUGCUACGUGUAGCGCACUGACGGUACUGUAAGAAUAAGGAUCGGCUAACUCCGUG
rnacentral:rRNA from 1 species